ensembl:lincRNA
AAACAUUUUUCUCUCCUUUCUCUUUUUCAUGAGAUCUUGCUCUACCGCUGCUACCCAUGCUCAUGAUGGAGAAAGCCCUGCUCACCACCCCCCCUUUUUAAACAACAACAACAACAACAACAACAACAACAACAACAACAUGUGUUUCUGUGUGGAGCAUCACCAAGGGGUGGAAAGAUCAAGGAAUUUGAUGGGCUUGACGGGACCGCCAGGACAACCUGGAGACCGUGGAGAGCUUGGAUUAAGGGGAGAUCCUGGGGAUCCUGGAACUAAUAGCUAUGUCCAAGGCCCUAAGGGAGAAAAAGGAAGGCGUGGGCAUCAGGGAAGUUCUAAUUUUGAUGGACCUCAGGGAGAACCUGGAAAUGUUGGCCCUUGGGGGACAAUAGGAAGGCGAGGUCUGCCAGGAUUAAAGGGUGUACCUGGAGAAUCCGGUGGACAGGGUUACCAAGGAGAGCUUGGGUAUCCAGGCUCACAGGGAUCAAGAGGAAGGCAAGGACCACCAGGAACUUCUGGUCAAAAAGGCUUUGUGGGCACUCAGGGGAAUCCUGGGCCUCCAGGGCCAAAGGGUUCAAAAGGAAAACCUGGACCAAGAGGAGUGAAGGGAGAGCUUGGUGAUGCAGGCGAAAGAGGCCCACAGGGUCGACAAGGACCAAGAGGGCAAACUGGUCUUCCUGGUUCUGAUGGAUAUGGACAUCCAGGAAGAAAAGGAACAAAGGGUGAACGUGGAUUCCCUGGCUAUCCUGGUGUCCAAGGAGAAGAUGGUGAUCCGGGCCAUCAAGGAGAAAAGGGGGCAAAGGGAAUAAGAGGGAAGAGGGGUAAUGCUGGCUUUCCUGGAUUAGUUGGAACUUUAGGUUACCAAGGCCCACCAGGACAAAUGGGUAUCAAGGGCCCCAAAGGUUUGGUAGAAAUGACGCCUUGCAAAAUUGUUGAUUUCACACGUGAAAACUGCCCUUGUUCAAGAGGUAUUUCCAAAUGCCCAGUGUUCCCAACCGAAGUGGCCUUUGCCUUGGACAUGUCAAAUGAUGUCUCCCCGUUGGAUUUUGAGAGGAUGAGAAACAUUUUAUUGUCUCUGUUGAUGAAGAUGGAAAUAAGUGACAGUAACUGCCCAACAGGUGCCCGUGUGGCCAUUGUUUCCUACAAUGCCAAAACCAAUUACUUGGUUCGUUUCUCAGACUACAAGGAGAAGGCUGCACUCCUGGAGGCUGUCAGGAACAUCCCCCUGGAGCACUCAUCUGGCCGCAGGAACCUUGGGGCCACCAUGAGGUUUAUGGCGAGACACGUGUUCAAACGUGUACGCUCAGGUCUUCUCAUGAGGAAGGUGGCUGUGUUCUUCCAGGCGGGCUGGGCCUAUGAUGCAGCUGCCAUCAAUACAGCCACACUGGAGUUUGCUGCAGUGGACAUCAUCCCCGUGGUCAUCACCUUCACAAAGGGGCACAACCUCCCAGACACUCUGCUGAUGGAUGGAACCAACAGAUUUUACUUGUUCAUCUGGGAGACAGAGCGCCAGCAGGAUGUGGAGCACAUGGCCCACUGCAUUCUCUGCUACGACAAAUGCAGACCAGACCCAGAAUGCCCGGCUGGCGUGCCGGGGCCCCAGCAGGUGGACGUGGACUUGGUGUUCGUGGUGGACAGCUCCUAUGGAGUGGAUGCCGACGUGUACCGCGGGUCUUUGAGUCUAGUGGAUGCCGCGCUGGAAGACCUGGAGGUGGCUGAGCAGCCGAGCGCGUCCCACCGUGGGGCGCGCGUGGCCCUGGUGACGCACACGACACCCAACUUCUGGCCCGGUGUGGGUCGCCGCCCUGUGCUCGAGGGCUUCCACCUGACCACCUUUAGCAACCGGAAGCAGAUGCAGAGACAUGUGCGCGAGGCUGCAGCCCGCCCCUUACAGGGAACCCCCGCCCUGGGCCACGCCCUGGAGUGGACGCUCGAGAAUGUGCUCCUGGCAGCCCCUCUGCCGCGGAGGGCACAAGUCCUCUUCGCCAUCGUGGCCAGCGAGACAAGUAGCUGGGACAGGGAGAAGCUGUGGACUCUGUCCCUGGAGGCCAAAUGCAAGGGCAUCACUCUCUUUGUGCUGGCCUUGGGUCCGGGUGUGGGGACGCAUGAGCUAGCCGAGCUAGCCGAGCUGGUCAGUGCCCCCUCUGAGCAGCAUCUACUGCGCCUACAAGGGGUCUCGGAGCCAGAGGUUAACUACGCUCGGGGAUUCACUCGGGCCUUCCUGAACCUCCUAAAAAGUGGGACAAACCAGUACCCACCCCCAGAACUCACUGAAGAAUGUGGGGGCCUACACCGUGGGGACACUCUGCUGCAAUUAGUCAUGCCUGUCAACAGGUUGCCCAGGCACCAGUUUGGUAUGUCUGGCUUGGCUGAUGAUUUGGAAGCAUUUGAAGCAACAGGCGUUUUUCUAGAAGAGAAGAGAAAAGACAUGACAACAUCUAUAACUCAGCAAGAAGUGCUUGAAAAUUAUGAAUAUAACAAAUAUGACAUUGAAGAAAACGAACAAGAAACACCAGCAAAACAAAAAGAAACUAGAAAAGAAAUAAAUGCAGGCACUACCUAUGGUCCUUGUUCCAUGGAUCCAAUAGAAGGUGAGUGCCAGGAUCACACCCUGAAGUGGUAUUACAACAAGGAGGAACGGGUUUGCCAGCAGUUCUGGUAUGGCAGCUGUGGGGGUAAUGCCAACCGGUUUGAAACCAAGGAAGAAUGUGAGGCUCAGUGUGUCCCAAUACAGUAACAGUCCAGGCAGAGCCCUGUUACUGCUAAAGGCAGAGCUUUUAAUGCUGAUGAAAUGGAGAUUACCCUGGCUGAGGCAGGACCUCACAGCUCAGAAGUGACACAGCCCAUUCCAACACCUUGGACAUCAGAUUCCUAAGCGCCUGAAUGUUUUCCUGCCAGCAAGAACUUGGGCCAGAUGAUUUGUGACUUGAGGACUGAAUUCUAAUAGUUAAAAAAGUAACUGAAAGAUAUUUAAAUGAAUUAGAACUGAAUGAAAAAGAAACUUGAACUUGACCUAUAAUAUUUUAAAAAAAUUUUGGGGUGCUAUGUAGUAAAAUAAAAUCAGUGUAAGGAGUGAGAAAACCUAAUUCAGAAAUGAAUUGAAACUUGUUUUUUUUUUUUUUCCACCAGAGAAUAGGGAAAUAUUAGUCAAAGACAGGGCAUGGAGAAAGGGACAUCUAAUGUGAAUGAACGUCAUCCUUACUACUUAAUGCAGAUAAAUAAAGGCAUUCUUUAUUAAAU